AGUGAACGCUGGUGGUAGGCCUAACACAUGCAAGUCGAACGGCAGCACAGGAGAGCUUGCUCUCUGGGUGGCGAGUGGCGGACGGGUGAGGAAUACAUCGGAAUCUACUCUGUCGUGGGGGAUAACGUAGGGAAACUUACGCUAAUACCGCAUACGACCUACGGGUGAAAGCAGGGGACCUUCGGGCCUUGCGCGAUUGAAUGAGCCGAUGUCGGAUUAGCUAGUUGGCGGGGUAAAGGCCCACCAAGGCGACGAUCCGUAGCUGGUCUGAGAGGAUGAUCAGCCACACUGGAACUGAGACACGGUCCAGACUCCUACGGGAGGCAGCAGUGGGGAAUAUUGGACAAUGGGCGCAAGCCUGAUCCAGCCAUACCGCGUGGGUGAAGAAGGCCUUCGGGUUGUAAAGCCCUUUUGUUGGGAAAGAAAUCCAGCUGGUUGAUACCCGGUUGGGAUGACGGUACCCAAAGAAUAAGCACCGGCUAACUUCGUGCCAGCAGCCGCCGUAA
rnacentral:rRNA from 1 species